UGAGUCCGAGGAACUAAGGUUCCAAAGUGAUGCGAGUCAUACUUCCCAGAAAAGCCCGAACCACGUUAAUUUCUAAUUACCUGUACCCGAAACCGACACAGGUAGGAAGGUAGAGAAUACUAAGGGGCGCGAGAUAACUCUCUCUAAGGAACUCGGCAAAAUUACCCCGUAACUUUGGGAGAAGGGGUGCCACCGCAAGGUGGUCGCAGUGAAUAGGCCCAGGCGACUGUUUACCAAAAACACAGGUCUCCGCCAAGUCGCAAGACGCAGUAUGGGGGCUGACGCCUGCCCAGUGCCGGAAGGUUAAGGAAGUUGGUUAGUUUCGACGAAGCUAGCGACCGAAGCCCCGGUGAACGGCGGCCGUAACUAUAACGGUCCUAAGGUAGCGAAAUUCCUUGUCGGGUAAGUUCCGACCCGCACGAAAGGCGUAACGAUCUGGGCACUGUCUCGGAGAGAGGCUCGGCGAAAUAGGAUUGUCUGUGAAGAUACGGACUACCUGCACCUGGACAGAAAGACCCUAUGAAGCUUUACUGUAGCUUGGAAUUGGGUUCGGGCUUCCCUUGCGCAGCAUAGGUGGGAGGCGUUGAAGUUUUCCUUGUGGGGAAAAUGGAGCCAACGGUGAGAUACCACUCUAGGGAGGCUAGAAUUCUAACUUUAACCCGUUAGCCGGGGAAAGGACAGUUUCAGGUGGGCAGUUUGACUGGGGCGGUCGCCUCCUAAAAGGUAACGGAGGCGCGCGAAGGUUCCCUCAGGCUGGUUGGAAAUCAGCCGUAGAGUGCAAAGGCAUAAGGGAGCUUGACUGCGAGACUUACAAGUCAAGCAGGGUGGAAACACGGCCUUAGUGAUCCGACGGCACCGAGUGGAAGGGCCGUCGCUCAACGGAUAAAAGUUACUCUAGGAUAACAGGCUGAUCUCCCCCAAGAGUUCACAUCGACGGGGAGGUUUGGCACCUCGAUGUCGGCUCAUCGCAACCUGGGGCUGUAGUAGGUCCCAAGGGUUGGGCUGUUCGCCCAUUAAAGCGGUACGUGAGCUGGGUUCAGAGCGUCGUGAGACAGUUCGGUCCAUAUCCGGUGUAGGCGUAAGAGCAUUGAGAGGAGCCUUCCUUAGUACGAGAGGACCGGGAAGGACGCACCGCUGGUGUACCUGUUAUCGUGCCAACGGUAAACGCAGGGUAGCCAAGUGCGGAGCGGAUAACCGCUGAAAGCAUCUAAGUGGGAAGCCCACCUCAAGAUGAGUGCUCUCACAGGGUUAACCUGGUAAGGUCACGGGAAGACCACCCGUUAAUAGGCACUAGGUGGAAGUCCAGUAAUGGAUGGAGCCAAGGUGUACUAACAGACCGAGGGCUUGAC
rnacentral:rRNA from 1 species